UACGGAGGAUGCGAGCGUUAUCCGGAUUUAUUGGGUUUAAAGGGUGCGUAGGCGGUCCGUUAAGUCAGCGGUAAAAUUGCGGGGCUCAACCCCGUCGAGCCGUUGAAACUGUCAGACUUGAGUUGGCGAGAAGUACGCGGAAUGCGCGGUGUAGCGGUGAAAUGCAUAGAUAUCGCGCAGAACUCCGAUUGCGAAGGCAGCGUACCGGCGCCACACUGACGCAGAGGCACGAAAGCGUGGGGAUCGAACAGG
rnacentral:rRNA from 1 species